rnacentral:rRNA from 1 species
CCUACGGGCGGCAGCAGUGAGGAAUAUUGGUCAAUGGUCGGGAGACUGAACCAGCCAAGCCGCGUGAGGGAGGAAGGUACAGAGUAUCGUAAACCUCUUUUGUCAGGGAACAAAGACUGGGACGCGUCCCCGGAUGAGUGUACCCGAAGAAAAAGCAUCGGCUAACUCCGUGCCAGCAGCCGCGGUAAUACGGAGGAUGCGAGCGUUAUCCGGAUUUAUUGGGUUUAAAGGGUGCGCAGGCGGAUUUUUAAGUCAGCGGUCAAAUCGUGGGGCUCAACCCCAUACAGCCGUUGAAACUGGGGAUCUAGAGUGUGCGAGAGGUAUGCGGAAUGCGUGGUGUAGCGGUGAAAUGCAUAGAUAUCACGCAGAACUCCGAUUGCGAAGGCAGCAUACCGGUGCACAACUGACGCUCAGGCACGAAAGCGUGGGUAUCGAACAGGAUUAGAUACCCCAGUAGUC